UACGUAGGGUGCAAGCGUUGUCCGGAUUUAUUGGGCGUAAAGAGCUCGUAGGCGGUUUGUCGCGUCGGAUGUGAAAAACCCAGGGCUCAACCCUGGGCCUGCAUUCGAUACGGGCAGACUAGAGUAUGGCAGGGGAGACUGGAAUUCCUGGUGUAGCGGUGGAAUGCGCAGAUAUCAGGAGGAACACCGAUGGCGAAGGCAGAUCUCUGGGCCGUAACUGACGCUGAGGAGCGAAAGCCAGGGGAGCGAACGGG
rnacentral:rRNA from 1 species